rnacentral:lncRNA from 1 species
AUGAGAAUGAGAUAUCAUUAUCAAUCCCAUUCUGCAGUCUGCCCCAGCUUUGAUCAAUCUCUUCUAUACUCAUUAUCUUUACCUUUUUGUGCAGGGUUAGUAAGGGUAAUUAACACUUCAUAAAGACUUAUUAAGAUCUCUUAAGUCCUAAUUGACUGAUAAUUUGUGUGGGCUUAAGCUCAAAGGCAGAGCUUGAUUGAUUUCCAAUCAUGCAGGCAUCAUAGCUUCUUUUACAAGGAGCUGGAUAAAAAGAGAAAAUCUUUUCUGAUCUAUAAUUCCCACUCCCACACUUGAUUGAUCUUCUUUUUGUGUUUCGUGUUGAUGAUCUUUUUGUUUCUGCUUUAUGAUUUUUGAUGAUGGUUGAGAUUCUUUUUGUGGUUGGUGACACUUGAUGUGUGUUACUGGUAGAGUUUCUUCGUGCAAAUUAACAUAUAGAUUCUUCCAAGAUUCCUUGGGAGAUCUUUUUGUUGCUUUAAUUCUUGAUAUCUCUUGUUAACGCAAUCAUUGAUAUCUUCUUGUUCUUUCUGAAUUAAAUGUAAAGUGGGAUUAAUACCUUAAAAUUUCAUGCUCCUCCUGUUUUAGGCCUUCCACUUAUUCAAAACCCUCUUGUGUUUUUAGUACUCAAUGGAUCUGUUUCCUCCUGUUCAAAGAAACUUCUCCUUGUCUUCAACCUGUUCAUUUCUGCAGCAGUAAAAUCAAAAAUGCACUUCGAUAACCAAAAGGGGAACAAGGAACGACAGAGAUCAAAGUGAAAGGCGUCAAAAACAACAUCGUACUGUUUCAACAGUGUCGAAGGGAUCACGUGUCCGGAAUUCAAUCUCCUCCGCUAGCUGCAGAUGCAAGCCACGAAGCCUCUUUCUUUGACUUUUGUCAAUUCAUCUCUUGUUUCUUUUGUACCAGACUUGUUAUUGAAUUCAGUACUAUUAAAAUUUCUAACUAUUAACAAAUUAGCAUACGACCAGCAUAAUGCUCAAAUUUUGAACUGAUGGCUUUGCUCAAGAUAUUUGCUGUGAUGGCUGUCACAAGUUUUUAAAUCUCCUCAAUUUUCUUUCGCACGAAUACUAUAUGUAUAUAUAUUUUGAAUUCCUAUAAUAUGAGGUUUUUCUGAUUCAAUUUUUGUUUUUUACAGAUUUUUCUCGAUUGCAUGUCUAGCUCCCAAGCUCUAUAUCUAUCAUUUCUCCGUAACUCCAUACUCAUCAUUGGUUCACGAACACCAGAAUAACUUCUCAUUCCCCUUCCUACUGGAAAUAGAAAAGCAAAGCAGAUCAAUCAAAGAAGCUGAUUUUCCUGUCUGCUUGAUCUUUGACUGAACAAACAAGUACUGGUACAGCCUACAGAGUAAAGGGCAUGAUCAAAAGCAAAAAGUCCAUCUCCAUUCAUGCAAGAAAAAGGUUUUUCUAUGGAAGAUCAGCAGCCUUUAUCAGUUACUAGCAGAAACACUGAACGACCCCCGAUCGUGACGUAUCCAAACCCAACAUUUCCAUAGCCUCCCACGCUCGAAUUUGGCAGAUUGUCAUCUUGGUUCUAUUAUUCAAGUCCCCUUGAGCCAUGAUUCUAGCUGUGCCCUUUCUCUUUUUUGUAGCAGGCAAAGAAGAAAAAGGCGGACUGCAUCAAAAUUUUUUUUAUGUAAAUAGAAGUAAUUCACCAAGUUUACAGGUUAUUCACCAAGUUUUCACAUCAAUCAUGAAAUCAGAAUAUCCAUCCUUUUCUAUUUUUGUCA